AUUGAACGCUGGCGGCAGGCCUAACACAUGCAAGUCGAGCGGAUGAAGGGAGCUUGCUCCUGGAUUCAGCGGCGGACGGGUGUGUAAUGCCUAGGAAUCUGCCUGGUAGUGGGGGAUAACGUCCGGAAACGGGCGCUAAUACCGCAUACGUCCUGAGGGAGAAAGUGGGGGAUCUUCGGACCUCACGCUAUCAGAUGAUCCUAGGUCGGAUUAGCUAGUUGGUGGGGUAAAGGCCUACCAAGGCGACGAUCCGUAACUGGUCUGAGAGGAUGAUCAGUCACACUGGAACUGAGACACGGUCCAGACUCCUACGGGAGGCAGCAGUGGGGAAUAUUGGACAAUGGGCGAAAGCCUGAUCCAGCCAUGCCGCGUGUGUGAAGAAGGUCUUCGGAUUGUAAAGCACUUUAAGUUGGGAGGAAGGGCAGUAAGUUAAUACCUUGCUGUUUUGACGUUACCAACAGAAUAAGCACCGGCUAACUUCGUG
rnacentral:rRNA from 1 species